rnacentral:sRNA from 1 species
GCAAUUAUUUCCCUGUAUACAGUAUAAUCUGUUUAAAACUUAUCUCCCCUUAUUCAAGGAACUUUUUGCCUUUGCACUGAAAUAUACAUAUUCACAAUAGUGUUACAUUAUGAGUUUAUCUGGAAAGACUGAUUUUGGGGGUUUUUAUCUUAAUUGUCAGAAACUGUUUUUUUAUGAUUGUAUUUUUUUCCAAAAAUUAGUUAAUGUUUUUUUUUUCAAAUACAUGAAUAGGAUAGUAAAAACAAAGUACUCUCUCUCUCUCUCUCUCUCUCUCUCUCUCUCUCUCAUGGCUGGUCCAUUGAUAAGUCCUCUUGUAUCUGUUCUCAUUUGUUUUAGUUGUUAAGCUAUGCCUUAUGCCUAUGGCUUACGGUAUUCUGACGUAGCUGACAGGUUGGUUGGCUUACAGUAUGUGACGUCUCUCACCCUGGGGUCUUCUCUCUCUCUCUGUUAAACACUGGUCGGUCUGAGCGGUGCUUGAUUUUGACAUCACUGGUUUUGUUUCUGUUUUUUGUUAGUAUGCCUGAGUUGUGUGGUAACAGAUUUUGACUAUCAUAUUAAUUACAUGUAUUUGAUAGAAGUGACACUGUUGUGAAUGUAAAUAUUGCAAACUUUUAAUAAAAUUGUGUCUUUGAAGUC